rnacentral:rRNA from 1 species
UUAGGGGGGAGGAAAAGAAACUAACAAGGAUUCCCCUAGUAACGGCGAGUGAAGCGGGAAGAGCUCAAAUUUGAAAUCUGGUAGCCUUCGGCUGCCCGAGUUGUAAUCUAGAGAAGUGUUUUCCGUGCCGGCCCAUGUACAAGUCCCUUGGAACAGGGCGUCAUAGAGGGUGAGAAUCCCGUCCUUGACAUGGACCCCCGGUGCUUUGUGAUACACUUUCAACGAGUCGAGUUGUUUGGGAAUGCAGCUCAAAAUGGGUGGUGAAUUCCAUCUAAAGCUAAAUAUUGGCGAGAGACCGAUAGCGAACAAGUACCGUGAGGGAAAGAUGAAAAGCACUUUGGAAAGAGAGUUAAACAGUACGUGAAAUUGUUGAAAGGGAAACGAUUGAAGUCAGUCAUGCUCUUUGGAUUCAGCCGUUCUGCGGUGUAUUUCCAUUGAGUGGGGUCAACAUCAGUUUUGAUCGCUGGAUAAAGGCACUAGGAAGGUAGCACUCUCGGGUGAACUUAUAGCCUAGCGUCAUAUACAGUGAUUGGGACUGAGGAACGCAGCAUGCCUUUAUGGCCGGGAUUCGUCCACGUACAUGCUUAGGAUGUGACAUAAU